rnacentral:rRNA from 1 species
UACGGGAGGCAGCAGUAGGGAAUCUUCCGCAAUGGACGAAAGUCUGACGGAGCAACGCCGCGUGAGUGAUGAAGGUUUUCGGAUCGUAAAGCUCUGUUGUUAGGGAAGAACAAGUGCCGUUCAAAUAGGGCGGCACCUUGACGGUACCUAACCAGAAAGCCACGGCUAACUACGUGCCAGCAGCCGCGGUAAUACGUAGGUGGCAAGCGUUGUCCGGAAUUAUUGGGCGUAAAGGGCUCGCAGGCGGUUUCUUAAGUCUGAUGUGAAAGCCCCCGGCUCAACCGGGGAGGGUCAUUGGAAACUGGGGAACUUGAGUGCAGAAGAGGAGAGUGGAAUUCCACGUGUAGCGGUGAAAUGCGUAGAGAUGUGGAGGAACACAGUGGCGAGGCGACUCUCUGGUCUGUAACUGACGCUGAGGAGCGAAAGCGUGGGGAGCGAAAGGAUAGAUACCCUGGUAGUCCACGCCGUAAACGAUGAGUGCUAAGUGUUAGGGGGUUUCCGCCCCUUAGUGCUGCAGCUAACGCAUUAAGCACUCCGCCUGGGGAGACGGUCGCAAGACUGAAACUCAAAGGAAUUGACGGGGGCCCGCACAAGCGGUGGAGCAUGUGGUUUAAUUCGAAGCAACGCGAAGAACCUUACCAGGUCUUGACAUCCUCUGACAAUCCUAGAGAUAGGACGUCCCCUUCGGGGGCAGAGUGACAGGUGGUGCAUGGUUGUCGUCAGCUCGUGUCGUGAGAUGUUGGGUUAAGUCCCGCAACGAGCGCAACCCUUGAUCUUAGUUGCCAGCAUUCAGUUGGGCACUCUAAGGUGACUGCCGGUGACAAACCGGA